rnacentral:lncRNA from 1 species
AGGUAUGAGGUGGGUGAAGAGAGUAUAAAUAAGGGUGUGGAGCAAGGUAUGAGGAAGAAGGAUGGAGGAGGAAAUGGCUUUCGUUGCUUGUGUAAACAGUGAACGCGUUGCUCUUGGAUCUCGAUGGGUAGUGUCUUGGACGCUUGGGAGCUUUACAAAUGGAAGCUGCUGAAGAAGAGGAUGCAAAUUCUUUGACCCGACCAAUGCUGGCAUGACUUAAUUAACCUGAUAUAUAUGUGUUAUUUAGGCCUAGAUAAAGCCUGGAAUUGCAGACUUUUUUUAGUUAAAUUCAUAUACUUUGGCUGAUACUGUCCUGAUCCAAAAUUUUAACAUAUAUAGGGUCUGACAAUACUUCUU